rnacentral:lncRNA from 1 species
CAGUGCAACAGAGUACAAUUGAAUGACAAAACGAACCUACAAAAAAAACAUUAUAUAAAAUGAUUAUGUGGUUACAAGUUGAAAAUCAAAUCAGUUUAGUGAGCAAAUCAGACAAAGUGAAUUUGGGAAAGAAGGCUAUGUUGGAUAUUGGUUAAAUAAAUCGAGAAUUGAAAAUCGAUUAAAGUGACUUCGUAUCGACUUCGACCAAAUACUCAAAAGCUCGACUCAAUCCGUUUAAGCAAAAUUGUUUGCCACUUCGCCGCUUCGGGGCGCACAAACGGGAAUUUUGAUUUCUCUGCAUGUAUUGAAGGGUAUAUUUGGCAUUUCGAAAACCAAUAUCGGAUGAAUGAGAAAUUACGAAAAAGAACGAAAAUCAGUGAAUAGGCACCUUUUCAUAAAGGUGGUGCAUUGUUUGGAAAGGGUGCAUGGUUUGGCCCCAACCAUUUCGUCCACACCCUUUCAUGGUCUAUAAAUAGGACCCUUUGGGUGUCCUAUUCCUCACAGUUUGAUAUGCAAAACGUCUCUCAUCCUCUCUUCUAUCCAAAAUCAAAAUCAUUCAUUUAUUUUGAUUUUCUUUCAUUUCAUCAUUGGAGUACAUAAACCUAAAUUUGGUUCGUUGUACUUGUGUUUUGGAGUGCUACAAACACAAGUGUAGCCGUUGUAUCUUGGGAGUCGAUUGCCGAAAUCCGUAGGCACCGUUGCGGGGCAAAUUCGACUUAAGGACAAAGAGUCCAACUCUUGCCUCGGCUUUGUCCCUAUCUUUAUACUUAUUUUUGGCGUCUCUAUUCACAAAAUUCUUCCAACAGGCUAAGCUGCAGUGUGUGACAUCCAUGGAUUCUGUUUUGCCUACACGCCAAGCACGGCAUUUGAGGUUGCAUAAUAAGCAACAGAAAAUAUG